UACGUAGGGGGCUAGCGUUGUCCGGAUUUAUUGGGCGUAAAGAGCGUGUAGGCGGCCAGGUAGGUCUGGUGUGAAAACUCGAGGCUUAACCUCGAGAUGUCAUCGGAAACCAUCUGGCUAGAGUCCGGAAGAGGAGAGUGGAAUUCCUGGUGUAGCGGUGAAAUGCGCAGAUAUUAGGAAGAACACCCGUGGCUAAGGCGGCUCUCUAGUACGGUACUGACGCUGAGACGCGAAAGCGUGGGGAGCGAACAGG
rnacentral:rRNA from 1 species